AUUGAACGCUGGCGGCAUGCCUUACACAUGCAAGUCGAACGGCAGCACGGAGCUUGCUCUGGUGGCGAGUGGCGAACGGGUGAGUAAUAUAUCGGAACGUACCCUAGAGUGGGGGAUAACGUAGCGAAAGUUACGCUAAUACCGCAUACGAUCUAAGGAUGAAAGUGGGGGAUCGCAAGACCUCAUGCUCGUGGAGCGGCCGAUAUCUGAUUAGCUAGUUGGUAGGGUAAAAGCCUACCAAGGCAUCGAUCAGUAGCUGGUCUGAGAGGACGACCAGCCACACUGGAACUGAGACACGGUCCAGACUCCUACGGGAGGCAGCAGUGGGGAAUUUUGGACAAUGGGCGAAAGCCUGAUCCAGCAAUGCCGCGUGAGUGAAGAAGGCCUUCGGGUUGUAAAGCUCUUUUGUCAGGGAAGAAACGGUGAAAGCUAAUAUCUUUUGCUAAUGACGGUACCUGAAGAAUAAGCACCGGCUAACUACGUGCCAGCAGCCGCGGUAAUACGUAGGGUGCAAGCGUUAAUCGGAAUUACUGGGCGUAAAGCGUGCGCAGGCGGUUUUGUAAGUCUGAUGUGAAAUCCCCGGGCUCAACCUGGGAAUUGCAUUGGAGACUGCAAGGCUAGAAUCUGGCAGAGGGGGGUAGAAUUCCACGUGUAGCAGUGAAAUGCGUAGAUAUGUGGAGGAACACCGAUGGCGAAGGCAGCCCCCUGGGUCAAGAUUGACGCUCAUGCACGAAAGCGUGGGGAGCAAACAGGAUUAGAUACCCUGGUAGUCCACGCCCUAAACGAUGUCUACUAGUUGUCGGGUCUUAAUUGACUUGGUAACGCAGCUAACGCGUGAAGUAGACCGCCUGGGGAGUACGGUCGCAAGAUUAAAACUCAAAGGAAUUGACGGGGACCCGCACAAGCGGUGGAUGAUGUGGAUUAAUUCGAUGCAACGCGAAAAACCUUACCUACCCUUGACAUGGCUGGAAUCCUUGAGAGAUCAGGGAGUGCUCGAAAGAGAACCAGUACACAGGUGCUGCAUGGCUGUCGUCAGCUCGUGUCGUGAGAUGUUGGGUUAAGUCCCGCAACGAGCGCAACCCUUGUCAUUAGUUGCUACGAAAGGGCACUCUAAUGAGACUGCCGGUGACAAACCGGAGGAAGGUGGGGAUGACGUCAAGUCCUUAUGGCCCUUAUGGGUAGGGCUUCACACGUCAUACAAUGGUACAUACAGAGCGCCGCCAACCCGCGAGGGGGAGCUAAUCGCAGAAAGUGUAUCGUAGUCCGGAUUGUAGUCUGCAACUCGACUGCAUGAAGUUGGAAUCGCUAGUAAUCGCGGAUCAGCAUGUCGCGGUGAAUACGUUCCCGGGUCU
rnacentral:rRNA from 1 species